AAGAGUAGUCUAGAAAUUACCCUCCGAUUGCUUAAACAAACCGCCCUAUAGUGGCGGUUU
rnacentral:ncRNA from 1 species